CAAAGAGUGCUGUUUCUGGUUCUUUCUUUUGUGGUGAGUUCCUCCUUCUAGUCAUUUUGCUCAGUUGCAGAGUGGCUGUAUGAGUGGGCUGAGUCCAGAAUAUUAACCACAACCGAAGUAAAUUCCACCCUAGAUGAUUCUGACGAGGGACGCUGAGUGAAUGAGGUGAUUCCUAGGAAGAAAUAAAGCCAUCUUGACCAGCAGUGAUCUGAGGUUUAUUCAUAUAUAUCAAGAACAUUUAUGCCUGCGCAGAAAGAAGUUAACAUCAGUGACUCAACAAUAGGGGCAGAGGAGUUUGGAAUUCUAAAAGUCUAAAAGACUAAACUGAGGUUUAGUGCCUUGAAAAAACUUAGAUAUUACAAAAAUACCUUUUGUUACCUGAGCUUACCCCAUAGGACAUGAAAACAUGAUUUUUUUUUCUUAGCAAAUUCAAUUUAAGAAAUCAGCCACAAAUUGUGUGUGGAUUGCUCUGAAUUCCCAUCCAAAUGUGGAACUCUAUGGCUGGCUGAGAACUUCUCAGAACGUGGAGUGCCUGGCUAACCAAAUUCACAGAGAGGUCUCCCAUGCAGAGGUAUGAGGAGCCAAGGCAGCUGAAACCUCAACUUGAGUGUUGUCCUAGAGGGGAAAGAAUGCAUAUGCCAACUUUUUUAUGGAUAUUCAGCAAAAUAAAUGUUUUGAAAACCAAAAUAGAUUAGUUUGACAAAUGUGCAAUACAUGAUUUGCAGAGAAAAAUAGGAUAGUGACAAAGUGUGACAUAUACUGAUAUCUUAGAAAAAAUGCUAGAGCUACUACCUAAGGUAAACUUAAACUGGUUGAUGGGUAAUUCAAAAAUAUCUGUGGUAGAGAAGGGACAAUAUGAGGGAAGCCAUGGUUCCUACCCCUGUGGAGCCCAUGACCUAGUAGAGGAACUGGGCAAAUUGUCACAAUGCAAAGAGAUAAGCACUAUGUGUGUCCCAUGUGGUAGGCUGAGCAGCAGGAGCACUCCCUUUUGCAAGUUUUUUUAGGGUAGGUGGAGAUAGGAUGAAUGUACUAGCCCUACCCUGUAGGAAAUUGGAAAGGUGAGCCGAAGCCAUUUUACAAACGGUAUUUGCAUUAAGAAGUGUAGCUUUGAUACUGUAAAUUAGUUGUUUUUGAAUAUUUUUUGCUCAAGAAUCUCAGAAGCCUACUUCUCCCAUGUACAUUUCUCAUGGAACUUCAAACAUUUUUUGUCAUAAGUUUUUUUUUAAGCAUAAGCUUAACUGCAAAAGGUAUCAUUCCUGUUAUGUUGUAAAUAUUGACAACUGUUGGGGAUUUACCCCAAAGAUACAAAUGCAAUGAAACGCCGGGACACCUGCACCCCGAUGUUUAUAGCAGCAAUGGCCACGAUAGCCAAACUGUGGAAGGAGCCUCGGUGUCCAACGAAA